UACGUAGGGUGCAAGCGUUGUCCGGAAUUAUUGGGCGUAAAGAGCUCGUAGGCGGUCUGUCACGUCGGCUGUGAAAUCCCGAGGCUCAACCUCGGGUCUGCAGUCGAUACGGGCAAACUAGAGUAUUGCAGGGGAGACUGGAAUUCCUGGUGUAGCGGUGAAAUGCGCAGAUAUCAGGAGGAACACCGGUGGCGAAGGCGGGUCCCCGGGCAAUAACUGACGCUGAGGAGCGAAAGCGUGGGGAGCGAACAGG
rnacentral:rRNA from 1 species